AUUCCAGCUCCAAUAGCGUAUAUUAAAGUUGUUGCAGUUAAAAAGCUCGUAGUUGAAUUUCUGUACAGUCCCGGUUCUGGCUUCGGUCAAGCCGUGGAUUGUGCAUCCGCUUGCAAAUCUAGCUCGGCCUUCACUGGUCGACUAGGGGAGUAAGCCCUUUACUUUGAAAAAAUUAGAGUGUUUCAGGCAGGCAAUGGCUCGAAUACAUUAGCAUGGAAUAAUGGAAUAGGACUUUUGUCCAUUUGGUGGGUUAUUGGACAUGAGUAAUGAUUAAAAGGGACAGUUGGGGGCAUUAGUAUUUAAUAGUCAGAGGUGAAAUUCUUGGAUUUAUUAAAGACUAACUUAUGCGAAAGCAUUUGCCAAGGAUGUUUUCAUCA
rnacentral:rRNA from 1 species